UCUUUUUCCCUUUUAAUCUCAAAAUUCCAUGAGUUCUUUUGCCCCAACCUCUAGUAAUACCGUUCAAAUCCCUAAACCUUUUCUUUUUCUCUCCAUGAGGUUUACAAUUUAGUUUUUAAGCUUUGUGGGGUUCUGUUUGUUGUUGUUCUUUAUUCCAUUUUUUUGUGUGUGUUUUUGCAGGGAAUGGAAGAAAAUUACAGGAGGUUGAAGGAGAUAAACAAGAAGUUGAGAAGGGAGAUUUAAUGGAAAUUAUAUCCCUUUCCCAACUAUGAAUUUGUUAUUAUUUUGUUUCAUUUUAUUGGUUGAUUAGAAUGUGGGAGAUAAAGGACAACGACGCCUACGAGGAAGAGCUUCUCGACUACGAAGAAGAUGAUGAAAAAGCCCCUGACUCUGCCUCCAUUAAGGCUGCUGAUUCUGCUAAGAAGAGGUAUGUUAGAAUUCACAGUUCGGGAUUCAGAGACUUUCUGCUGAAACCAGAGCUGCUUCGAUCUAUUGUGGAUUCUGGUUUUGAACAUCCUUCCGAAGGCAAAGUUUUAAACUCAUGUCUGAUGUUAACAUUCGUGAAUUCCGUGAAUUAAGUCAUUUUUGUUUUUCUUGCUUUUAGUGAUUUAUAAUGGUGGGCAGUAUACAAGUUUGGUGCUUUAUUAUUUUGAUUUACUGUUUUGGAUGAAGCAUUUGUUGUUACAGGAUAUGCUUUGUAGUAAUCUUUGAAAUACUUUGCCUUGAAAUUAUAUUUUUUUCAACUUAAUUUAUCUAGGCACGAAAGUCUUCAAAAUUAUCAUAGCUUUUCUUUUCUGUUGAUUCAAACUGUUUAUUUAAACUCUUUUUUUUUUUGUUUAUAUAUAUAUAUAUACAUACUGUUUUUAAUAAAAAAUUUUAAUAAUUCAUUCAUUCUAAGUUAAUUGGACUUGCUUACGGCUGAACAUACAGUUUAUAUAUGAAUAUGCUUCAUCUGCAUUGCCUGAUUCACUUGAUCUGGUUUGGUUGUUCUUUGAUUCUGAUUCACGAUUGUUGAAACAAUCGAUUUGUUGCUUUGAAAAUGAUUUUGUUGCUAUACAGUUUGUUAAUAUCCUCUCUAAUGGUGGUUAAAUUUCAAAUAAUGUGAAAGUUUUGAACAUUUUUUGUUAUCCAUUUCCAAUAGGGAAGAGUUAAAAGUUUUUUCUGGAGAGGUGGUACAUUUUGGCAACCGUUGUAAAGAUCCUCAGUGGCAUAAUUUGGAUCGUUAUUUUGAAAAGUUGGGUUCUGAGCUUACACCUGAGAAACAAUUGAAGGAUGAAGCAGAGGCAAUAAUGCAACAAUUGAUGUCUUAUGUUCAGUAUACAGCUGAAUUAUACCAUGAGUUGCAUGCCUUGGACAGAUUUGAAAAAGAUUAUCGACGGAAGCUUCAGGAAGAGGAUAAUUCAACUGCUGUUCAAAGAGGAGACAGCCUAUUGGACUGUGAUAAAGAACACAUGCCCUAUUUUCGUUUAAGGACCGCCAAGGAAAUUUUGAAACUUAAAGCUGAUUGAUCGAAUGUGUAUGUCGGCUUUCAUCAACUACUUUCGAAGGCCUUACUAGGAAUUGAAAUGGUGUGCAAAGAGAUUGCUUCUUCUGAUCUGAUUUUUCAAUAUAAAUACUGGACAAAGUAUGGAUAUUUCUUGUCAGUUGCAUUUACUGUUGUUAGUAAAAUAGGAUUCUCUUCUUAGGAUCUUAGUUUCUUCACUUGUAUUAGACUCAACAAUGGCUUGCAUUGCAUUGGUGUUGAUUUUACCUAAAUUUUGAGGUUUAUAAUUUAUAAUUUUUAUUAAUUAUUUA